AGGUAGUGACAAUAAAUACUGAUACAGGGCUCUUUUUGGGUCUUGUAAUUGGAAUGAGUACAAUUUAAAUCCCUUAACGAGGAACAAUUGGAGGGCAAGUCUGGUGCCAGCAGCCGCGGUAAUUCCAGCUCCAAUAGCGUAUAUUAAAGUUGUUGUGGUUAAAAAGCUCGUAGUUGAACCUUGGGCCUGGCUGGCCGGUCCGCCUCACCGCGUGUACUGGUCCGGCCGGGCCUUUCCCUCUGUGGAACCUCAUGCCCUUCACUGGGUGUGGCGGGGAAACAGGACUUUUACUUUGAAAAAA
rnacentral:rRNA from 1 species